rnacentral:rRNA from 1 species
CGUUCCCGGGUCUUGUACACACCGCCCGUCACACCACGAGAGUUUGUAACACCCGAAGUCGGUGGGGUAACCCUUACGGGAGCCAGCCGCCGAAGGUGGGACAGAUGAUUGGGGUG